GACAUAGGUUGCGAGCGUUAUUCGGAAUUGCUAGGCGUAAAGCGAGUGUAGGCGGACCUUUAAGUCUGACGUUAAAUCUCCUGGCUUAACUAGGAGCUGUCGUCGGAUACUGAAGGCCUCGAAUGGGGUAGGGGGCAGCGGAAUUCCCGGUGUAGCGGUGAAAUGCGUAGAUAUCGGGAGGAACCCCUAUGGCGAAAGCAGCUGCCUGGGCCUCUAUUGACGCUCAGCCUCGAAAGCUGGGGGUGCAAUCAGU
rnacentral:rRNA from 1 species